ensembl:misc_RNA Metazoa_SRP Metazoan signal recognition particle RNA
GCUGGGCAUGGUGGCAUAUGCCUGUAAUCCCAGCUACUAGGGAGGCUGAGGCAGAAGAAUCGCUUGAACCCGGGAGGUGAGGUUGCAGUGAGCCAAGACCGUGCCACUGCACUCCAGCCUGGGCAAUAGAGCGAGACUCUGUCUCAA